GUGUCACUACAUAAGGGGCAUUUUGAUUAUUUCGUUGGUUAUCUGAGUAAUCUUGCUUUGCAUAUGACGCGUGCACUGCAACUUUUGUUGCCUUUCUCUCUUCACCUUCGUUUCUUUAUUCAUUGCUUAUCUGAAUAGAUUUUGAUUGGAAUUACACAGUCUUGGUAAAGAAAUUCCCAACCUCAGAAGUUUCUGACUCAACAGUUUCUGUCGAAUGUGAGUACCUCCCUCUGUAUAAUAACUAUGGAAUUGGUCUUCCCACAUGGAGUCCUCUCGCUUCAGAUGUACUAAUUGAAAAUUUUAGUGUAAGAAACAUUCCACCAGACAGUCGAUUUGCAUUGAAAAAUUACAAGGUAAAACCCUGAAUUCGAAGGAAUUGAGAGCGUUGAAGAUAGCGAAGUAGAAGGAAGGAAAGAGAGAAAAAUCCUUAUAUGAAGGCUAUACAAUUCAUGAGCUAGGUGCUCAUGUUUGAAGAGCACAUAAUAAGAAACUUCCUUAGUAUUUAGAGAGAAAUAUCAAUGUUAAGUUCUCUCAUGUUGCUGAGCUUGGAAAAAUUAGGGAGGAGCUAGAGGAAAUUGGAUACGUUAAUAAGAGUGCAAACAUCAGUGAGCAGCAAAAACUUCAGCACAGGUGGGACAAAAGAAUGCAGCAGGCAAUACAGAGCAAAGUGUAGAAAGGAAAACAAAUUAACUAGCUUUAAUGAUGUGAAGUUUUCACUUGAAUUUUAGUUGCUUUCUUUAAAGUCUUUUGUAAGCGUAACUUCGUCUCUAAAUUUCACAUUACCUCGAUCAAUACAAUUAGCGAUACA